GAUGAACGCGGCGGCGUGCCUAACACAUGCAAGUCGAGCGAGAAGUAAAGAAAUGAAGCUUCGGUAGAUUUUCAUUAUGGAAAGCGGCGGACGGGUGAGUAACGCGUAGGCAACCUGCCCUGUACAGGGGGAUAGCCACCCGAAAAGGUGAUUAAUACCCCAUGAUGCAAGAGAUACACAUGUAUCACUUGUCAAAGAUUUAUCGGUAUGGGAUGGGCCUGCGUCUGAUUAGCUAGUUGGUAGGGUAACGGCUUACCAAGGCAACGAUCAGUAGCCGACCUGAGAGGGUGAUCGGCCACAUUGGAACUGAGACACGGUCCAAACUCCUACGGGAGGCAGCAGUGGGGAAUAUUGCACAAUGGGGGAAACCCUGAUGCAGCAACGCCGCGUGAAGGAAGAAGGCCUUCGGGUUGUAAACUUCUGUCCUAGGGGAAGAAACAAAUGACAUACCC
rnacentral:rRNA from 1 species